GACGAACGCUGGCGGCGUGCCUAAUACAUGCAAGUUGAGCGCUGAAGGUUGGUACUUGUACCAACUGGAUGAGCAGCGAACGGGUGAGUAACGCGUGGGGAAUCUGCCUUUGAGCGGGGGACAACAUCUGGAAACGAAUGCUAAUACCGCAUAAAAACUUUAAACACAAGUUUUAAGUUUGAAAGAUGCAGUUGCAUCACUCAAAGAUGAUCCCGCGUUGUAUUAGCUAGUUGGUGAGGUAAAGGCUCACCAAGGCGAUGAUACAUAGCCGACCUGAGAGGGUGAUCGGCCACAUUGGGACUGAGACACGGCCCAAACUCCUACGGGAGGCAGCAGUAGGGAAUCUUCGGCAAUGGACGAAAGUCUGACCGAGCAACGCCGCGUGAGUGAAGAAGGUUUUCGGAUCGUAAAACUCUGUUGGUAGAGAAGAACGUUGGUGAGAGUGGAAAGCUCAUCAAGUGACGGUAACUACCCAGAAAGGGACGGCUAACUACGUG
rnacentral:rRNA from 1 species